GUAGACAUGCAAGUAGAACGCUGAGAGAGGAGCUUGCUCUUCUUGGAUGAGUUGCGAACGGGUGAGUAACGCGUAGGUAACCUGCCUUGUAGCGGGGGAUAACUAUUGGAAACGAUAGCUAAUACCGCAUAACAAUGGAUGACACAUGUCAUUUAUUUGAAAGGGGCAAUUGCUCCACUACAAGAUGGACCUGCGUUGUAUUAGCUAGUAGGUGAGGUAACGGCUCACCUAGGCGACGAUACAUAGCCGACCUGAGAGGGUGAUCGGCCACACUGGGACUGAGACACGGCCCAGACUCCUACGGGAGGCAGCAGUAGGGAAUCUUCGGCAAUGGGGGCAACCCUGACCGAGCAACGCCGCGUGAGUGAAGAAGGUUUUCGGAUCGUAAAGCUCUGUUGUAAGUCAAGAACGAGUGUGAGAGUGGAAAGUUCACACUGUGACGGUAGCUUACCAGAAAGGGACGGCUAACUACGUGCCAGCAGCCGCGGUAAUACGUAGGUCCCGAGCGUUGUCCGGAUUUAUUGGGCGUAAAGCGAGCGCAGGCGGUUUGAUAAGUCUGAAGUUAAAGGCUGUGGCUCAACCAUAGUUCGCUUUGGAAACUGUCAAACUUGAGUGCAGAAGGGGAGAGUGGAAUUCCAUGUGUAGCGGUGAAAUGCGUAGAUAUAUGGAGGAACACCGGUGGCGAAAGCGGCUCUCUGGUCUGUAACUGACGCUGAGGCUCGAAAGCGUGGGGAGCGAACAGGAUUAGAUACCCUGGUAGUCCACGCCGUAAACGAUGAGUGCUAGGUGUUGGAUCCUUUCCGGGAUUCAGUGCCGCAGCUAACGCAUUAAGCACUCCGCCUGGGGAGUACGACCGCAAGGUUGAAACUCAAAGGAAUUGACGGGGGCCCGCACAAGCGGUGGAGCAUGUGGUUUAAUUCGAAGCAACGCGGAGAACCUUACCAGGUCUUGACAUCCCGAUGCUAUUUUCUAGAGAUAGAAAGUUACUUCGGUACAUCGGUGACAGGUGGUGCAUGGGUUGUCGUCAGCUCGUG
rnacentral:rRNA from 1 species